GGGCAAUUGGCUCAGUGGUAGAGCGCGUUCCUGAUAAGAACGAGGUCGGAGGUUCGAUCCCUCCAUUGCCCACCA
rnacentral:tRNA from 2 species